UCAGACCCAUCUCAACAGAUUUUUCUCUAGUGGAGUUUGCGGAAUAGAUAGGUUUUUACUUUAUGAAUCUGGAACGAACGGAUUGCUACCGGUGGCAUUCCUGAACGCAAUUGGGUCCAACACGGAAGCUAAACUAGUUCAUAUGCAUCCGGACAACGUUGCCCAGAAGCAGGCACAACAAGCAAUGAAUUUCGAUACGGAACAACUGAGCAGAUGCAUAUCAGUGAAAGUUUAUUCCGUUCUGAGACAUUUCUACCAACGAAGUAAGGACACGAACGGUAUUGAAUUGAAUGAUGCUAAGCCAGAUCAACAGUGUGGGGAGACUGACGGUGUAGAUUCGCCACUGGUGGAAAUUAAUCACAAACGCAAGAUGUGACAUUAUUAGAUUCUCCCAAAGUGGUUUCUUACCAGCUAUGAAUACACCCGUUCGGAUGAUGUGGCUUUUUUGCUUCCAUCAACUGCAGUCAACAGCAUCGGCUUUCCCGUAGCAGUAUCUUCCAAGCCAUGGUGGCUGUUCCAGGGGACAACAUCAACAGCAGCAGCAUCUGGACCUGACCAUCGAUAGUGUUUCGAGCAACUUUCCAUAUCGGAGAUCUCGUGCUUCG